rnacentral:lncRNA from 1 species
GGAGGCAGCAGGCACGGAUGCCAUAGCUGUCACCGCGGCCCCUCAGACGCACAGUGGCCACUCCUGCAGGCCAUCACGGCCCCCGGCCUCAGGCUGGCGAGCUGAGCGCAGCUGGUGCUUCUGCAGGAUGCUGGUGGCUCCCGCGCGGGUCGCAGUAUCGCUCCGAUCAAAUGAAAUAGCAGCGGCCGCCUCCCAGCGGGCGGAGAAGAAAGCUUGUGAAAGACAGAAGUUCCCAAACGCUAGCCUUUUGCAAAACUCGGGAGUGUUCCCGGCUCCUUUGGGUAGCAGCUGCCAUUGGCAUCCUGUGGCCAUGAACGUGCGGGACGAGGAAAGGCUAAAGACAACCGGAGCAGGGUGGAGCUAAGCGUGGCCGCAUUUCCUCGGCUCCCCGAUGUGCAGCCACAGCCUGGAGCCCCUGACGCCCCUGGGAGGCCAUGGCCCAGAGGUUUCCAAAUCCUGCACCUCCGACUUGGGGGCCAGCAAGGCU